rnacentral:lncRNA from 1 species
GAAAUUUAUAAAAAUGACCACAUUAUUGAUAUUCAUGUCAACACCGAAAUGUUGACUUUUAUAAGGUGUUCUUUUUUACUUUUGUGCGUAAUCUUGUACUCGAUCUAGGAACUGUUAUUGGUUCUAUCGUUGGUGGUUGACUUGAAAUGUACCCCAGUCAGUAAUUAAACUUAUAGAUAAAAGGAUUCCUAUGUAACGUUCGCCUACGCCCC